CAGUCGCCACGGUAAUACGAAGGGUGCAAGCGUUACUCGGAAUUACUGGGCGUAAAGCGUGCGUAGGUGGUGGUUUAAGUCCGUUGUGAAAGCCCUGGGCUCAACCUGGGAAUUGCAGUGGAUACUGGGUCACUGGAGUGUGGUAGAGGAUAGUGGAAUUUCCGGUGUAGCAGUGAAAUGCGUAGAGAUCGGAAGGAACAUCUGUGGCGAAGGCGACUAUCUGGGCCAACACUGACACUGAGGCGCGAAAGCGUGGGGAGCAAACAGGAUUAGAUACCCGCGUAGUCCCUGUCUCUUAUAC
rnacentral:rRNA from 1 species